CCUGAGGAGCUCACCUUGCUCGAUUUCAUCCUCUCGCUCGGCCAGUUGCUCGAAGUCGCGGAUGACGGCGCGGGCCGCCAGGUGGUGGAAGGUCUCAUUCCACAGGUCAACAGUUGACUGUAAGGACUUCUGCAUCCCUGUCCAGUCGUUAUUGGGAAGGAGAGUGUGCCGUCCCAUUAAACAAGAGCUGUCUUCCUGUCUCUGGGCCUGGGGUCUUAGGAUUGGACAAGUGUGUGUGAUAAAAAGGAGACCGGCCACGCUUAGGAUGGCCUCUGUGGAAGCUGGUUCUUAGCUACGGCUGGUGGAACGUCUGAGGCCAGAGAGAUGGAGUACCACGUGGGAGAAGAGUCUGCCUGACUCCAAGGCCAAUGUCUUCUGAUUUUAUCAGGCAGUCCCUGGCUGAGCACAGAAAAGAGCCUCAGGGAUAAGAUGUGCUGGCCACAAGUCGGUUCUGGAUAACUCUGCUCCUGCCCAGGACAUUUGGCAGUGUCUGAAGCAUUUUUGGUUGUCAUGACUGGGGCUAUUGUUCUUACUGGCCUCCAGUAGGCAGACCCCCUUUCCCCAGCCAAGAAUUAUCCUCGCAAUAGUGCUUGAGGCUGGGAAGCCAUGGUCUGGGAACACUGGUGACUCUUUCUGCUGUGGCUCUGACCUUCUGCUUCUCUCCGCUGAGACUGACCGGAGAAGCAGGGCGAUGGACAUGAAAGCAAGGCAGAUGGUCCUGGCUUGAAUUCCCUGCCUGUGUGACUCUGGUCAGCGGCUUUCUCUCUCUCUCUAGCUGUCAGUUUCCACAUGUGUGCCGAGUGGGGGUGUCUGGCCCCCAAACUCCUUCUUUCCCAGGGCCACUAUAAAAUCUAAUGGCACAGUAGAGGCAGAUGCUGAGUUCCAUCUGGUGAGUGCUGUGUGCAGGGAACGGGGGUUCUCAUUAGCUAGUGAGUGUCUCAAUUAGGAAGGUGUCACUGGGGUUGGGUAGAUGAAGGUCAGAGGAGGAGGGAGGGCGUGGCUGACUCCUUUCCCUAAACUAGUGGCUGCCUGUUCUCAGUAGGUAAUUAAUUCAUAAAAGCACUUUGAACAGAAACUGAUACCAUAAAGGGACUUUAGGGCCAGGAAGCUCUGGAUUCUGUAUUCUACCAAGUAUCAACUUGCCCAUGCAAGCGAUGGGCAGACUUAGCCUUAUGAUUCAAGAACGGUACACAGCUCUCCCCCAGCCAGGGGCGUCCCCAGCUCCUCUCCAGCCUGCCUACCUUGGGUAUCUGCAAAUCAGUCGGCCACCGCUGGCCAUCCAGGCUGGUCUGAUUGGUGAGGUCCUGCAGCUUGGCUUUCCGCAGUGGGUGUCUCCUGGAAGAUGCUGUGGGCUCACUGGCAGUGGUGGCCCUUGGGCACGGCUUGUGGGUGGUGAUCUGGUUGGUGCUAUAUGCCCUCCGUCGCCGGGAGAGGUCCAGACCUGGGCAAGGGAGGUGAGUGGGAAGCCAUCAGGGAAGAAGAGGGGCUUGCACACCCUCUUCCUGCUGGGAACAUCCUGAGUUCCAAUCUGGGUGCCACCUGGAAUGUGUGUAGGUCCCUGUACCAGCUUCAGAACCUUGGAAGAACUUCAGAACCUGUGUCCCCUUCUAAAGCAUCGUGUGUUGCAGAUCAGGAACUAAAAUGAGCAAAAUGGAUCACUGGUUCCUUCAUUCCAUUCCUCAUGACAUAAACGUACAUAGAAAUAGAUUUUCUUUCCUGGACCAAUGCUUUGGGAUGUAAGGAUUACUGGCACUGGGUGAAUGUCACUGUAGCAAGAGUUAUUUCUUCUGGAUGUGUGUCGUCCUGCCCUUGGCUCAGGAAAAUGCUGUCCUGACAUCCACGCGUAGAAGGGACUGAUGUGCCCCAUCCUUACCUCACUGUAGGUCUGGCUGGAAGGGAAGACCGUCUUAAACAUGGAUCCGAAUCCAAUGACAUUGAAGAGGCAGUUUGGCAUGAGGCUCUUCAGGG